rnacentral:rRNA from 1 species
AGUGAACGCUGGCGGUAGGCCUAACACAUGCAAGUCGAACGGCAGCACAGGAGAGCUUGCUCUCUGGGUGGCGAGUGGCGGACGGGUGAGGAAUACAUCGGAAUCUACUUUUUCGUGGGGGAUAACGUAGGGAAACGUACGCUAAUACCGCAUACGACCUACGGGUGAAAGCAGGGGAUCUUCGGACCUUGCGCGAUUGAAUGAGCCGAUGUCGGAUUAGCUAGUUGGCGGGGUAAAGGCCCACCAAGGCGACGAUCCGUAGCUGGUCUGAGGGGACGAUCAGCCACACUGGAACUGAGACACGGUCCAGACUCCUACGGGAGGCAGCAGUGGGGAAUAUUGGACAAUGGGCGCAAGCCUGAUCCAGCCAUACCGCGUGGGUGAAGAAGGCCUUCGGGUUGUAAAGCCCUUUUGUUGGGAAAGAAAUCCAGCUGGUUAAUACCCGGUUGGGAUGACGGUACCCAAAGAAUAAGCACCGGCUAACUUCGUGCCAGCAGCCGCCGUAA